rnacentral:rRNA from 1 species
CACUCGAGUGGCGAACGGGUGAGUAACACGUGGGUGAUCUGCCCUGCACUCUGGGAUAAGCCUGGGAAACUGGGUCUAAUACCGGAUAGGAGCCAUUUUUAGUGUGAUGGUUGGAAAGUUUUUUCGGUGUAGGAUGAGCCCGCGGCCUAUCAGCUUGUUGGUGGGGUAAUGGCCUACCAAGGCGGCGACGGGUAGCCGGACUGAGAGGUUGGUCGGCCACAUUGGGACUGAGAUACGGCCCAG